UAUCUCUGUAGAGUCUGCAUAUCAAUAAGCGGAGGAAAAGAAACUAACUAGGAUUCCCUCAGUAACGGCGAGUGAAGCGGGAAGAGCCCAAAUUUGAAAUCUUCAAGGUUCUACCUUGACGAAUUGUAGUUUAUAGAAGUGUUUUCUGUUAGUAGAGUGGCAAAAGUUCUUUGGAAUAGGACAUCAUAGAGGGUGAGAAUCCCGUAUUUGGUCAUUCUUUCUAGCUUUGUGAUACACUUUCAACGAGUCGGAUUGUUUGGGAAUGCAGUCCAAAAUGGGUGGUAAGUUUCAUCUAAAGCUAAAUAUUGGCGAGAGACCGAUAGCGAACAAGUACCGUGAGGGAAAGAUGAAAAGAACUUUGAAAAGAGAGUUAAACAGUACGUGAAAUUGUCAAAAGGGAAGCGUUUGACACCAGUGUUGUUUUUCCGAAAAUCAAUUAAGAAUGUUUUAUUUUUGAGGAGUUAUGACUUCAUCGGCUUGCUCCUUUCUUUAUGGAACUUUCUUAAUGCACUUUUCGGUUAACAAGUCAACAUCAAUUUCUUUUGUUGUAAAAGAGUAUGAGGAAGGUGGCUUUCUUUUCGGAGAAAGUGUUUAUAGCCUUGUACUUCUGCAAUCGGAGAGAUUGAGGUCUGCAGCGUAGAUCCUUCGGGGUUAGAUACACUUGUGCUAAGUUAUAGCUUUUCAUAGACAACUUGUUGAUUAUGAUUAGUCUUGUAGCUUACUCGCUUGUGCUAUUUUACCUACGCUUAGGAUGUUGAUGUGAUACUGCGAGCA
rnacentral:rRNA from 1 species